AGUGUUUAGUCACCAAUUUUUAAAAUCUGUUCCAGUUUGGUCACUGGGAAUUGCUUGUUUUUAAACCAGCCCAAUGUUGUUUUAUUAUUAGUGACCACCAAGUAAAUAAAUAAAAAAUUAUCAAACGAAUGUUUAAGGCUUUAAUGACCUUUUUUAGAAUUUUAAAAAUAGUGCUUUCCUUUCUUCCGUCAACUACAGUAUCUUCUUCCCCAAAAUUCUAAAUCUGAGAAAGUUCAGCCUUUACUUUUGUCGAGAGAAAACUAUAGUAGCUUCUUCCCCAAAAUUCUCUGCUCCAAUUUGAACCAUGGAGUUAACGUAGAAGAUUACUUUACUUUUUCGUUCGAUUAGCCUUGUCUUUUGGUCAGGCUAAGAAUUGGCUUUGGUUUGUACGAUUGGGCACAAACAUUUCCGCUGGUUUUCAACAAAUCGCUCAAAGAUCGCUCUGAUGCUUCGAUUUUGAGAUACGACCUUGAGCUGGUGAGAUCCUAUUCUGAAAGCACCUUUUAAGAGCAUGAGCUCCUCUGUCCUGUUUUUGGCUCAACUAUGGGAAGUUGAAGAUUCUAUAUUUUUGUUUUCAUCAUUGGCCAUCCAUACAUAGAAUAUCUGUUAGCGUAUCCAAGGAAUGGGCUUAUAAGUAUUAAUACAUAGCAAAGCAUCAAGAGGGUCCUUCUCAACAAUGGAUAAACUUAUUCUAAUUGAGGAUGCAGAACAUAAGCACACUGCUCAAAAGCAUGAACCUCACUUUUGAAAGAUAUGAUCCUGCUCUGCUUAGGUGCAUUGUGAUACAUCAGGAUAAUGAACUGUCUGAGUCUUCCCCAGUAGCUCACUUCUACUUUAAAAGGGGACAUCAACACUAAAGGUUCAGGAAGCAGUUAGAGAAGGUGUGGUCAGACAUGAGAUAUUGAGCAAGAGAUGUGCUGGUUGAAAUACAUUAGAUUUUGUUUUUGAGAGAUGUAUGUCUUGUGAAUUUGUGAGAGAAAUGUUGAUUCAUAUCUAGUUUUUGGAAUGAUAUAUGAUACACUUUGUGUUGGGUAUCAGGAUUUUAUCUUUAGUAGACUAUUCAUGAAAAAAAAAAAAAUAGAUGUCAUUUCAUAGUGUUAAUAAGUGACCAAACAAUUGUAAAUUAGUCACCAAUUGUUCUACAUACAUUUAGUGACCAAAUUAUAGCCUUCAGUGAUGAAAUUUGCGGUCGCUAA